rnacentral:rRNA from 1 species
GGGGGGCGGGGGGGGGGGGUCGUGGGGGGGCGGGGCGGGCGGGGGGGGGGGGGGUGGGUUCUCUCCUGGGGUGGCGGACUGGUGCGGGACACGUGGGUAGUCUACCCUUACGGUGGGGGUAGCUGCUCGAAGUAGCAGGUAAUCCCGAAUACACUCGGCAUAUCACGAGAGGUGUUGAGGCAGGGAAGCUACGGCCUCGCUUGCGGCUGAGCUUGCGUCCCAUUAGCUAGUUGGUGAGGGAAAGUCCCACCAAGGCGCGGAUGGGUAUCCGGCCUGAGAGGGUGAACGGACACAUCGGGACUGAGAUACGGCCAAAACUCCUAAGGGAGGCAGCAGCUAAGAAUAUUGCGCAAAGGACGGAAGUCUGACGGAGCGACGCCGCGUGGAUGAAGAAGGCGGAAAAGUUGUAAAAUCCUUUUGUUGAUGAAGAAUAAGGGUGAGAGGGAAUGCUCAUCUGAUGACGGUAAUAGACGAAUAAGCCCCGGCUAAUUACGUG